rnacentral:rRNA from 1 species
AGUGAACGCUGGCGGUAGGCCUAACACAUGCAAGUCGAACGGCAGCACAGUAAGAGCUUGCUCUUACGGGUGGCGAGUGGCGGACGGGUGAGGAAUACAUCGGAAUCUACUUUUUCGUGGGGGAUAACGUAGGGAAACUUACGCUAAUACCGCAUACGACCUACGGGUGAAGGCAGGGGAUCUUCGGACCUUGCGCGAUUGAAUGAGCCGAUGUCGGAUUAGCUAGUUGGCGGGGUAAAGGCCCACCAAGGCGACGAUCCGUAGCUGGUCUGAGAGGAUGAUCAGCCACCCUGGAAAUGAGACACGGUCCAGACUCCUACGGGAGGCAGCAGUGGGGAAUAUUGGACAAUGGGCGCAAGCCUGAUCCAGCCAUACCGCGUGGGUGAAGAAGGCCUUCGGGUUGUAAAGCCCUUUUGUUGGGAAAGAAAAGCAGCAGGUUAAUACCCCGCUGUUCUGACGGUACCCAAAGAAUAAGCACCGGCUAACUUCGUG